CUGUACAUACAGAGUUUAACUUCUCUGUUGCAGGAGGUGUAACUCCACCUCCCGCGGCAUCAUUUCUAGCUUGGAAUUCUUCUAGGCUGGCUAAUGUGAAUUCCGUGCAUACGGGACAUCUGAUGUCAUCACACACAGCCUGCUGUCGACAGGCAUCUAAUGGCAGCAUGCUCCCUCCUCUAGAUUGCCCAUGUCUUUCCCCCUAGAUCCUUCCUCCAGCAGCAAAUUGGAGU